UAUUAAAAAUUUCAUCUAUGUGUAUUGUUAAAAACUGAUGUGGUUGGCAGAAUAAUCAAAUAGUGACACAUGAAGUGUCAUGUGUACCUUAUGCCGACGUAUAGGAAUCAAUUUUUAACAACAAAAAUAGAUGAUUUUUUUUACA
rfam:Gossypium hirsutum cultivar TM-1 chromosome 5, whole genome shotgun sequence